GAUCCCGUAGCUCAGUUGGAUAGAGCGCCAGAUUCCGAAUCUGGAGGUCGCAGGUUCGAAUCCUGCCGGGAUCGCCA
rnacentral:tRNA from 1 species